UAAUAGAUUGGUGUAAAAUUGAGACUUUAGUAUUUUCAUGCAAUUUAUGUCAACAUGAUAUGCUAAAGUGUCGGUUCUACAACAAUCACAAA
rnacentral:pre_miRNA from 1 species